CCUUUCCCCAAAACCACCUCUGCCACCUGGAGCUCGAGAGCUCGGUGCCGCUGCCGAACUGCUGCCCCGCUGCCUCCCCGACGCCUUCAACCACCGCCGAAGCUCCACCGGAGGAUUGCUUCGAGUAGAAGGAUCGUUGUUUGAAGCUUGAAGAAUCAAAACGCUUUGUAUUAGCAAGAGCUGAAGAGUAGUAAGAAUAGUUUUUGUUGGAAAAAGGCAAGUGAUCCUAACCAUACUUCUGUCUAUGCUUAUUUAUAAGAAUAUUUUAUUUAAUUGGAACAUGGAGAACUACUCAAGAAAAUAGUACAAUCACAAUACCAAAUGGGCUCUGGUCUUGGCUAAUUAAUUAGAGACUCUAGCUUGUGACAGUCUUACUGAAAGGGCAAGAGGGGAUGCAUCAACGUGGUAUAGCUCGGUCCACUUGGGGUAACUGCCUUUGCUAAGGAGCUGACCAUUAGGGAGGGUUAUGACCAUUAAGAAGGUGUGAGAAGUUUUUCGAAGAUGAUGUUGAGUUCUAGGCGUACGCGACCCCCGGUCGAUUGCUUGUGAAGUUUGAAGCCUUUGUUUCCAGGAUAAGAUGUAUAACUCUGAUAGUCUUUUAAUCAUUGUUUAAUUCUCUCUUUCGUGAUACUAUUACCGAUCAUUCAUUUAUAAUGUCACUAUAUGUAUGAAAUUUGAUUCUGGCAUACAUAUGGUUAU